rnacentral:rRNA from 1 species
GGGGGAACUGAAACAUCUAAGUACCCCGAGGAAAAGAAAUCAACCGAGAUUCCCCCAGUAGCGGCGAGCGAACGGGGAGGAGCCCAGAGCCUGAAUCAGUGUGUGUGUUAGUGGAAGCGUCUGGAAAGGCGCGCGAUACAGGGUGACAGCCCCGUACACAAAAAUGCACAUGCUGUGAGCUCGAUGAGUAGGGCGGGACACGUGGUAUCCUGUCUGAAUAUGGGGGGACCAUCCUCCAAGGCUAAAUACUCCUGACUGACCGAUAGUGAACCAGUACCGUGAGGGAAAGGCGAAAAGAACCCCGGCGAGGGGAGUGAAAAAGAACCUGAAACCGUGUACG